GAUGAAGAACGUAGCGAAAUGCGAUAAGUAAUGUGAAUUGCAGAAUUCAGUGAAUCAUCGAAUCUUUGAACGCACAUUGCGCCCGCCAGUAUUCUGGCGGGCAUGCCUGUCCGAGCGUCAUUUCAACCCUCGAACCCCUCCGGGGGGUCGGCGUUGGGGAUCGGCCCUGCCUCUUGGCGGUGGCCGUCUCCGAAAUACAGUGGCGGUCUCGCCGCAGCCUCUCCUGCGCAGUAGUUUGCACACUCGCAUCGGGAGCGCGGCGCGUCCACAGCCGUUAAACACCCAACUUCUGAAAUGUUGACCUCGGAUCAGGUAGGAAUACCCGCUGAACUUAAGUAUAUCAAUAAGCGGAGGA
rnacentral:misc_RNA from 1 species